AUUGAACGCUGGCGGCAGGCCUAACACAUGCAAGUCGAGCGGAUGACGGGAGCUUGCUCCUUGAUUCAGCGGCGGACGGGUGAGUAAUGCCUAGGAAUCUGCCUGGUAGUGGGGGACAACGUUUCGAAAGGAACGCUAAUACCGCAUACGUCCUACGGGAGAAAGCAGGGGACCUUCGGACCUUGCGCUAUCAGAUGAGCCUAGGUCGGAUUAGCUAGUUGGUGGGGUAAUGGAUCACCAAGGCGACGAUCCGUAACUGGUCUGAGAGGAUGAUCAGUCACACUGGAACUGAGAAACGGUCCAGACUCCUACGGGAGGCAGCAGUGGGGAAUAUUGGACAAUGGGCGAAAGCCUGAUCCAGCCAUGCCGCGUGUGUGAAGAAGGUCUUCGGAUUGUAAAGCACUUUAAGUUGGGAGGAAGGGCAGUAAGCUAAUACCUUGCUGUUUUGACGUUACCGACAGAAUAAGCACCGGCUAACUCUGUGCCAGCCGCCGCAGUAAUAC
rnacentral:rRNA from 1 species